UAGGGAAUCUUCCGCAAUGGGCGAAAGCCUGACGGAGCAACGCCGCGUGAGUGAUGAAGGUCUUCGGAUCGUAAAACUCUGUUAUUAGGGAAGAACAAAUGUGUAAGUAACUAUGCACGUCUUGACGGUACCUAAUCAGAAAGCCACGGCUAACUACGUGCCAGCAGCCGCGGUAAUACGUAGGUGGCAAGCGUUAUCCGGAAUUAUUGGGCGUAAAGCGCGCGUAGGCGGUUUUUUAAGUCUGAUGUGAAAGCCCACGGCUCAACCGUGGAGGGUCAUUGGAAACUGGAAAACUUGAGUGCAGAAGAGGAAAGUGGAAUUCCAUGUGUAGCGGUGAAAUGCGCAGAGAUAUGGAGGAACACCAGUGGCGAGGGCGACUUUCUGGUCUGUAACUGACGCUGAUAUGCGAAAGCGUGGGGAUCAAACAGG
rnacentral:rRNA from 1 species